rnacentral:rRNA from 1 species
CCUACGGGAUGCAGCAGUAGGGAAUCUUUCACAAUGGGCGAAAGCCUGAUGGAGCAACGCCGCGUGAAGGACGAAGGUGCCAAGCAUUGUAAACUUCUUUUGUCAAGGGACAAAAUCAGGCUCGAGAGCCUGACCGAGGGUACUUGAAGAAAAAGCAUCGGCUAACUCCGUGCCAGCAGCCGCGGUAAUACGGAGGAUGCGAGCGUUAUCCGGAUUUAUUGGGUUUAAAGGGUGCGUAGGCGGGCUGUUAAGUCAGCGGUAAAAGCCCGGGGCUCAACCCCGGCGAGCCGUUGAAACUGGCUGUCUUGAGAUGUCGAGAGGUAUGCGGAAUGCGCAGUGUAGCGGUGACAUGCUUAGAUAUUGCGCAGAACUCCGAUUGCGAAGGCAGCAUACCGGCGGCGAUCUGACGCUGAGGCACGAAAGCGUGGGUAUCGAACAGGAUUAGAUACCCCUGUAGUC